UAGACGGACUAGAGACACAUAUUAGUGUUAGAAAAACAUGGUGAAGUGUAUUUUGCAUAAUAUGUGACCUUUAAUGUUUUUCAGAUAGUGUUGAACUCAUCACCUACCAAUGUUUUUUCUGACCUUGAUAACUAUGGGUUACUUUAUUAAGUCUGAUGCUGAGACAAAUGUCCCCUUUUCACAGGGAGACCAGAAACUGAGGACGCUUUCUGGCCUUUUGUGUGUCGUGUUGUUGGACUCUUGGUGUUUGUCACCAUAGUGAUUGCUAUGUUUGUCACCUCACACUCUUUGCGUAAAGUUCAAGGUGUCCAAUGUGGAGGAGGAUCCAAAGACACACCAGCAGAUCCAAACAGCCAGCCUUCCCAUCAGGCUUUGCCUAUGGAUCAUAUCUAUGAUAGUGUUCAGUAGUCCUCAUGUCAGAGGUACAAAGUUAAACGUUACAAUGCUGGGUUAAGAACAUACAACAGCAUUUAUUAUUGAUUGUUUUUUGUGACUCGUGGAAGUCAAUUUGUGCUUGUGAAUUUCUGCAAAUGAACCUGUAGUGAUACAAGAAGUGACAUUUCUAUUGCUUUCAAACCGCUGUAUAUGAGAUCGAACCUGUGUGUGUGUGUGUGUGUGUGUGUGUGUGUUUUGCUUCCUCUGUAGGUGACAAACUUUGUGCACAAAUCCCCUGCAAGAUAUAUUAUUUUGGUUAUCUGUAUCGCAUUGUGGAGCAGACGCACUGAUGCCAGGAAGCAAAAUGUAACCACACGUCACAUAUUGAGAGACAAAAGACAAGAGGAUGUGUCGUAACAUGAAAGAAUACGCAGCCCUCAACUUAUCACCCAUCUGUUCUAGGGAUCUUAUUUCACUCUAAAAUAUAAAUUAUAAAUGUGAUUUUACCACUUCACAUACAGCCCAAUAUUAAAGAUUCACUGAAGAAAUCUAGUUUCUUAAACUGACUAAUGAAAACAACAGCCAACCUGUCAGUCAAAGCAGCCCCGCCAAAUUAUAAUAUAAUAACUAGCUUUCAAAAAAGAUUUUUCAUAAAUUCUUAAAAUUCAUAAAAAUUCACUCUGUAAAGUUUGUGCAAAUAAAUAAAUGAGCUGUCAGAACCAAA